AUCAUGGCUCAGGAUGAACGCUAGCUACAGGCUUAACACAUGCAAGUCGAGGGGCAGCAUGUUGGUUGCUUGCAACCGAUGAUGGCGACCGGCGCACGGGUGAGUAACGCGUAUCCAACCUACCCUUGUCCAUCGGAUAACCCGUCGAAAGGCGGCCUAACACGAUAUGCGGUUCACAGCAGGCAUCUAACGUGAACGAAAUAGUGAAGGAGAAGGGAAUGGGGAGUGCGU
rnacentral:rRNA from 1 species